ACGCUCGACACCUACGUGAGGCAGCAGUGAGGAAUAUUGGUCAAUGGGCGCUAGCCUGAACCAGCCAAGUAGCGUGAAGGAUGAAGGCUCUAUGGGUCGUAAACUUCUUUUAUAUAAGAAUAAAGUGCAGUAUGUAUACUGUUUUGUAUGUAUUAUAUGAAUAAGGAUCGGCUAACUCCGUGCCAGCAGCCGACGGUAAUCUGAGGCGGGCUGGCAAGGC
rnacentral:rRNA from 1 species